rnacentral:rRNA from 1 species
UCGCCACGGUAAUACCCCGCUCCCCCGAGUGGUGGGGACGCUUAUUGGGCCUAAAAGCAUCCGUAGCCGGCCGGGCAAGUCCCCUGUUAAAAUCCCAGCGAUUCAAUCGCUGGACUGCGGGGGAUACUGCCCGGCUAGGGGGCGGGAGAGGCCGAGGGUACUCCCGGGGUAGGGGCGAAAUCCGUUAAUCCCGGGAGGACCACCCGUGGCGAAGGC